ACAUCUGGAGAGAGGCAUGGCUUGAAAAGCCGUACCCACCGAAGGAGAAAGCCCUGCCCGGUUGCAUGACCGGAAAAAGGCGCCGACGACACGGAUGACAAACAUCCGGCGGGCGCUCAAAGGGCCAAGCUCUCAGGUUCCGUGACAGAUGGG
rnacentral:ncRNA from 1 species